GCCGCCCAAGAGAACGGCAGGCUUGUAAAAACUUUGCAGUGUGUCCUCAUCCACUUUGGUCCCUGGAUCUGGCACCAUGUGAUUUCUGGCUCCUUCUUGAAAUCAAAAUGACCGUGACAGGCUCCCGGAGAGGCCUGAGCAUCCUCACAGCACCCACUGAGGAGGAGGAUAUCAAUGGCACACUUGGUGGUCAGAGACUAAGCGUGAAGGUCACCCAGGAGGGCACAUUCCCAAGCCUCGGAAGGGAUAGGUGGUGAUGACGGCAUUGGAGACGGCAUUGGAGACGGCAACCUGAAGAGUUGGUUUGGCUGAGACUGAGGAUUCAGGAGCAGAGGAAGCCCUGGGUCAAAGUGUGACUUUGAGAGUGGAAUGACACACAGACGAAGCACCCAGUUUAGAACCUGGCCCACCAAGUGGACAGCAGUUGAGAACGAUGGUGGAGAGAGUACCAGAGGAAGAGUCCUUCUUCCUUCUCAGUCUUGUGACCCAGCCACCCCAGUCCACCGUCCGCACCAAGGGGACAUCUGGCACCUCAGAUCUAGAGACAGUGUCUGUGGGAUGUCUCAGAAUGUGUAGCCUGAGGAUAAGGGAAGGGACAGCUGUUAUUCACAGAACACCAGGAGAAUGUCAUCAACAGGAGCAUGGAUAAAUCGCCACACACUAGCCCGUGGGACUUGAGGCAUCUUUACCAUUGCAUGGGCUCCUGCUCCACAGUGACCCGAUUGGUUCCUUGGGUGUGGAAUAUUAAGUCAGAGAGAAACAGGACCCCUACUUAAUAUUUUUUAAAGCCUCAUAAAUAAACAAAGUAAGCCCCAUCAUGUUGACCAGGGUAUACAUUA
rnacentral:lncRNA from 1 species